rnacentral:rRNA from 1 species
AUUGAACGCUGGCGGAAUGCUUUACACAUGCAAGUCGAACGGCAGCACGGACUUCGGUCUGGUGGCGAGUGGCGAACGGGUGAGUAAUACAUCGGAACGUGCCCAAUCGUGGGGGAUAACGUAGCGAAAGCUACGCUAAUACCGCAUACGAUAUAAGGAUGAAAGCGGGGGAUCGCAAGACCUCGCGCGAAUGGAGCGGCCGAUGGCAGAUUAGGUAGUUGGUGGGGUAAAGGCUCAACAAGCCGACGAUCUGUAGCUGGUCUGAGAGGACGACCAGCCAAACUGGGACUGAGACACGGCCCAGACUCCUACGGGAGGCAGCAGUGGGGAAUUUUGGACAAUGGACGCAAGUCUGAUCCAGCCAUUCCGCGUGCAGGAUGAAGGCCCUCGGGUUGUAAACUGCUUUUGUACAGAACGAAAAGGCUCUGGUUAAUACCUGGGGCUCAUGACGGUACUGUAAGAAUAAGCACCGGCUAACUACGUGCCAGCCGCCGCGGUAA